UGUGGAUAUAUAUAUAUAUAUAUAUGUGGAUGUGGAUCCACGCAUGUGGAUACACACACACACACACACACACACAGAUAUACAAGUAUACGGUGUUCUUAGUAUCUUAAUUUUCACGGUUUUAAAAUUGCUUAGAAAACAAACAUUGUGACACAAAACAUUAAUUGAUGAACUGAACACUAAAAGAUUGUCAUCCAAACAUCCCUUCUCUGUUAACAUUAGCAUCUGUCUUUGUCUAGGGUUGUUGUGUUUCUUAGCCAAAGUCUCACUGUUCUAAAAAUUGGGCAAUGUAGUACAAAUACAGUACAGAUCUAUUACAAAAUAAAAAUGCAUUGAUUUCAUAAAGUCAGUGAAAAUGAUACUGAAGAAAUAGUAUACAAGAGUAGUAGUGUACUGGAAGCAUUUUUAGAAAGAGUAAUGAAAGGAUUCUGAGAGACUUGGGCAAAAAGUGUGGCAUCGUCUUAAUCAGUCCAUUAUUUGGAAAAAGUAUACCCAGAAAUACCAGUGGUUGACUCAUCUUUUUGGGGGAAGAAUUGGAGAAGUUUUCUCUAGCUUACUGAUUUGGAGAUUGCAAAUAAAUUUUAGUGGGUUGGUGAAUUUGCAUAAUCUGAAUAAGGAUAAAUGGAAUCAUACAGUAUAGCUUUUUCUAUCUGGUCUUUACUUAGCAUAAUGUUUCCAGGAUUCAUCCAUGUUGUAUCAUGUAUCAGUACUUAAUUCCAUUUUAUAGCUGAAUAGUAUUAUUCCCUUGUGUGGAUAUACCCAAUUUUGUUACUCAUUUGUAUGGACAUUUGUGUUGUUUCUACUUUUUGACUGUUAGGAAUACAGUUACUGUGAAUGUUUAUGUACACAUUUUUGUGUGAAACUGGUUUUCAUGUCUCUUGGGUAUAUACCUAUGAGUAGAACUUGUGAGUCAUAGUAACUUUAUAUUUAACUUCUGAGGAACUGCCAGACUCUUUUCCCCAACAGCUGUACCAUUUACAAUGCAAUGUAAUAAGGUUUUUACCUUUACCUUUACCUGCAGUGUGUAAGGUUUUUAAUUUCUCUAAUUUCUCUACGUCCUCACUUUUUUACUUAGCAUAAUAUCCUCAGGGAUCAUCCAUGUUGUCAUAAAUGGCAAGAUGUCCUUUUUUCUCAUGACUGAAUAAUACUGCAUCAUGUACAUGUACACUGUAUCUUCUCCAUCUAUUGAUGGACACUUAGGUUGGUUCUAUAUCAUGGCUAGUGUGAAUGAUGCUGUAGUGAACAUGGGACUGCAGCUCUCUGAGAUCCUGUUUUCAUUCCCUUUGGAUAUAUACCCGGAAGUGGAAUGGCUGGCAAAUGUUUAUCAAAAAAUAGAAAACAUACUGUAUGAAUAAGUAUAAAGACCUUCCACCUUUAAGUUUUAUUUUCUUCUAGUCAGCCUAUUUUUCUCUAUGUACUUUCUCUCUCGGCAGUCUCCUAAGUACCACAAUAUAAGUUAUGAUCUCCUAAGAUGUUCCCAAAUUGUGGAUCUCUUUCCUUAGUCUGUUUCCUAAAUUUCAGAUAUAUAUUUUCAGCUUGCUUUUGACUCCUCCACUUGCCUUUUAGAUACAAGUUCAUAAUCUUCUCUUACACACUGGUUUAUCAUUCUCAGAGGCACCCCUUGAAUGACAUCUUUACAUCUUUUGCAGGUGUUAUGUUAAGCAGCCACUACUUCUGGUUAUUUGCACAAAAGUAGAGCUUGGAUACUUGACCUAUAUUAAAUGCCCACUUGUUGAAUUUAUAUGCAAAUAUAUGUUAAUAUAUGCCUGUAUCAUAUUCUAAGUGCUAAGUAAUUCAUUUACAUUACUUUUCAGCGUUUUCCCAUCACUCUCUCAGGAACUGUUAGUUGUUUUUGCUUUCUUUUGUUUUAAAGUAUCUUGUGUGGUACUAUUUACACUGUAGCUAAUUAAUAAAUGUUUGACA